rnacentral:rRNA from 1 species
GAUGAACGCUGGCGGCGUGCCUAAUACAUGCAAGUCGAGCGAACAGACGAGGAGCUUGCUCCUCUGACGUUAGCGGCGGACGGGUGAGUAACACGUGGAUAACCUACCUAUAAGACUGGGAUAACUUCGGGAAACCGGAGCUAAUACCGGAUAAUAUAUUGAACCGCAUGGUUCAAUAGUGAAAGACGGUUUUGCUGUCACUUAUAGAUGGAUCCGCGCCGCAUUAGCUAGUUGGUAAGGUAACGGCUUACCAAGGCAACGAUGCGUAGCCGACCUGAGAGGGUGAUCGGCCACACUGGAACUGAGACACGGUCCAGACUCCUACGGGAGGCAUCAGUAGGGAAUCUUCCGCAAUGGGCGAAAGCCUGACGGAGCAACGCCGCGUGAGUGAUGAAGGUCUUUGGAUCGUAAAACUCUGUUAUUAGGGAAGAACAAAUGUGUAAGUAACUAUGCACGUCUUGACGGUACCUAAUCAGAAAGCCACGGCUAACUACGUG